rnacentral:rRNA from 1 species
UACGGAGGGAGCUAGCGUUGUUCGGAAUUACUGGGCGUAAAGCGCGCGUAGGCGGCUUGUUAAGUCAGGGGUGAAAUCCCGGGGCUCAACCCCGGAACUGCCCUUGAAACUGGAGAGCUAGAAUCUUGGAGAGGCGAGUGGAAUUCCGAGUGUAGAGGUGAAAUUCGUAGAUAUUCGGAAGAACACCAGUGGCGAAGGCGACUUACUGGACGCAUAUUGACGCUGAGGUGCGAAAGCGUGGGGAGCAAACAGG